AUUCCUUUACUUCCUAUGGAUACUGCUACACCAGUGUGUCACUAUGAACUUACUCCCCGAGUGAUUUGUUGUUCCUUGUAGUGAGUAAGACCAGCUGACUGGCAACAGUUGUCUCUGUGUGUCGUCGUUGUUUUUGUUGUUGUUGUCGAUUCAGUCUGUGUUUAUCUAGAAAUUUACGACAGUUGUUCACCCUCUGGGCUAACCUGGCUACAUCUGGCAGACGAUCUUUGUUGUUUGAUAAAUAUGUUAAUUUAUCGCCUGUGUGGGUAUUACUUGCAAUUUAAAUACGCGCAUUUACAGGCUUAAAACAGUCAAACCUACCAAACCUGUAUUUUAUUAUCAUCAAACUAUAAAAGGAUCAGAUUUGAAGUGCUUUAAAACGUUUACAUGGGAAAAUGCUGAAAUUCGCAUAUGGACACAAAAGUCAUUCCAGUGACGUCAGAGUUCCAUCUUAUGGGGAUUUAACCGAGACUUUUCCCCCACGGACCGUGAUGGUAGCAAUGGAUGGAAGCGAGGACUCCAGAUUUGCGUUUCAUUAAUAUCCACAGGCCCGGGGACAGGGUGGUUAUAGUCUUCGCCGUGGAGUUCCAUUCGGAGCACGACUCCAGGUGGCUAUUUUCUUUUACAGAAAGUGUGGAAGAAAAAGUAGGUGGAUCUCUUGACAAAGAAAGAGCAAGACACCUCGAGACAGUAAAAAAAUUCUCAAAACUGUUAGAAAACUCCAAGAUUUUAGGUGAAGUCAACGCCAUCGAUUCCAAAUCCCCGGGAGAGGGUAUAGUACAAGCUGCCAAAGAAAUCCACGCCUCUUUUAUCGUGACCGGCACAAGGGGUCUCGGAAAAGUGCGAAGAACUAUUUUAGGCAGUGUCAGUGACUAUAUACUGAGGCACGCUCCAAUGCCCGUAGUUGUCUGUAGAUAUGUGGAGAAGAAAGGUUGUGAAAAGUGAUAUCGUGAUAGAUCACAAUAAACUGUAAACAUUCCUAAAGAGUAAUGUUGUCCUCAGCGGAACUGAUGAAAUGGUGUAUUAUGAAUAUGUGUCAACUGUUGAACCUCUUACCACUAUGGAGUUCGUUUGAUCUUCACUUUUCAAAUUAUUGUUAUGUGUAUGGACAUUGUCAUUUUGUAUGAUAUUAUUGUUUGAUAAAAUUAAGAAUGU
rnacentral:misc_RNA from 1 species